rnacentral:rRNA from 1 species
UACGUAGGGUGCGAGCGUUGUCCGGAAUUACUGGGCGUAAAGAGCUCGUAGGUGGUUUGUCGCGUUGUUCGUGAAAACUCACAGCUCAACUGUGGGCGUGCGGGCGAUACGGGCAGACUGGAGUACUGCAGGGGAGACUGGAAUUCCUGGUGUAGCGGUGGAAUGCGCAGAUAUCAGGAGGAACACCGGUGGCGAAGGCGGGUCUCUGGGCAACAACUGACGCUGAGGAGCGAAAGCGUGGGGAGCGAACAGG